UACAGAGGUCUCAAGCGUUGUUCGGAUUCAUUGGGCGUAAAGGGUGCGUAGGCGGCGCGGUAAGUCGGGUGUGAAAUCUUGGAGCUUAACUCCGAAACUGCAUUCGAUACUGCCGUGCUUGAGGACUGGAGAGGAGACUGGAAUUUACGGUGUAGCGGUGAAAUGCGUAGAUAUCGUAAGGAAGACCAGUGGCGAAGGCGGCAUCCUGGACCAACACUGACGCUGAGGAGCGAAAGCCAGGGGAGCAAACGGGA
rnacentral:rRNA from 1 species